CGUGUAGGCGGGCCGUUAAGUUGGGGUGAAAGCCCGAGGCUCAACCUCGGAACUGCCUUCAAAACUGGCGGCCUGGAGCAGAUGAGAGGCGAGUGGAAUUCCGAGUGUAGAGGUGAAAUUCGUAGAUAUUCGGAGGAACACCAGUGGCGAAGGCGACUCGCUGGCAUCUUGCUGAUGCUGAGACGCGAAAGCGUGGGAGCAAACA
rnacentral:rRNA from 1 species